NNNNNNNNNGAUUGACAGAUUGAUAGCUCUUUCUCGAUUCCGUGGGUGGUGGUGCAUGGCCCGUUCUUAGUUGGUGGAGCGAUUUGUCUGGUUAAUUCCGAUAACGAACGAGACUCUGGCAUGCUAACUAGUUACGCGACCCCCGAGCGGUCGGCGUCCCCCAACUUCUUAGAGGGACAAGUGGCGUUCAGCCACCCGAGAUUGAGCAAUAACAGGUCUGUGAUGCCCUUAGAU
rnacentral:ncRNA from 1 species